rnacentral:sRNA from 1 species
GCUGGGUGUGGUGGCGUGCACCUGUAGUCCCAGCUACUCAGGAGGCUAAGGCAGGAGAAUCGCUUGAACCUGGGAGGUUGAGGUUGCAGUGAGCCGAGAUGGCGCCACUGCACUCCAGCCUGGGUGAAAGAGCGAGACUCUGUCUCAA